AACCGAGGGAUUAAGUUGUACUCCGUGGUAAAAAGACAGUUAGAUAGAAUGAUGAGGUUGAUUGAUUGUACUAUUGGGAAGUAAAAUUCGAAUAUAGACAAAUAUACUUGAUAAAACCAAUGCAUUGAAGCUGUGACAACUUUGAGGGAAACUAGGAUUAGAUACCCUAUUAUUCAUUGAGAUAAAUAAGAAAACUCUACCAGAGUACUAAGAAUAAAAAAUUUAAAACUCAAAGGGCUUGGCGGUGUUCUAGACUACUUAGGGGAACCUGUCUCAUAAUCGACAAUCCACGUUAAACCUAACCUUCUUUUGCAUUCAGUUUGUAUACCGUCGUCGACAGGUAACUUUUAAGAUAAAAAUAGUUAGCUAAAUAAAUACUUUAAGUUAAGACGUCAGAUCAAGGUGCAGCCAACAAGAAGGUGUAGAUGGGUUACAAUUAUGGCACUUAUAAUUACGGAUCAAUAACCUAAAGGUAAGUAUGAUAAGGAGGACUUAAAAGUAAAAAGAACUAUAAAAACAUUUUGAAUAAAGCUCUGGAACGUGC
rnacentral:rRNA from 1 species